ACGCCCGUAGCUCAGCUGGAUAGAGCAGCGGUUUCCUAAACCGCAGGUCGGAGGUUCGAGUCCUCUCGGGCGUACCA
rnacentral:tRNA from 1 species